rnacentral:rRNA from 1 species
GACAGAGGUGCCAAGCGUUAGGCGGAAUCACUGGGCUUAAAGCGUGUGUAGGCGGAUGCCUAAGUACUUUGUGAAAUCCCCCGGCUCAACCGGGGAACGGCUGGGUAUACUGGGUGUCUUGGGUCAUCUAGGGGCUGCCGGAACAAAUGGUGGAGCGGUGAAAUGCGUAGAUAUCAUUUGGAACGCCAACGGCGAAAGCAGGCAGCUGGGGAUGCACCGACGCUGAGACACGAAAGCCAGGGGAGCGAACGGG